GUGGGGAAUAUUGCACAAUGGGGGGAACCCUGAUGCAGCGACGCCGCGUGAGUGAAGAAGUAUUUCGGUACGUAAAGCUCUAUCAGCAGGGAAGAAAAUGACGGUACCUGAUUAAGAAGCCCCGGCUAACUACGUGCCAGCAGCCGCGGUAAUACGUAGGGGGCAAGCGUUAUCCGGAUUUACUGGGUGUAAAGGGAGCGUAGACGGCGCUGCAAGUCCGGAGUGAAAGCCCACGGCCCAACCGUGGGACUGCUCUGGAAACUGUGGGGCUUGAGUGCGGGAGGGGCAGGCGGAAUUCCUAGUGUAGCGGUGAAAUGCGUAGAUAUUAGGAGGAACACCGGCGGCGAAGGCGGCCUGCUGGACCGUAACUGACGUUGAGGCUCGAAAGCGUGGGGAGCAAACAGG
rnacentral:rRNA from 1 species